rfam:Nicotiana attenuata strain TT chromosome 2, whole genome shotgun sequence.
UGGACAGAUUAUUGUAUUCGACUGUAUUCACGGCGUGAAACAGGGGAUUACACUGUUUUUAAAUGGAAAGUGAAUCAGUUAACAUAAUAGACUCCU